rnacentral:rRNA from 1 species
GCCGUUUACUUUGAAAAAAUUAGAGUGUUCAAAGCAGGCCUACGCUUGAAUACAUUAGCAUGGAAUAAUGGAAUAGGACUUUGGUCUUAUUUGUUGGUUUAUGGGACCGAAGUAAUGAUUAACAGGGACAGUUGGGGCCGUUUAUAUUUCGUUGUCAGAGGUGAAAUUCUUGGAUUUACGAAAGAUAAACUUCUGCGAAAGCAUUCGGCAAGGAUGUUUUCAUUGAUCAAGAACGAAAGUUAGGGGAUCGAAGACGAUCAGAUACCGUCGUAGUCUUAACCAUAAACUAUGCCGACUAGGGAUCAGUGGAUGUCAAUUUGCGACUCCAUUGGCACCUUGUGAGAAAUCAAAGUUUUUGGGUUCCGGGGGGAGUAUGGUCGCAAGGCUGAAACUUAAAGGAAUUGACGGAAGGGCACCACCAGGAGUGGAGCCUGCGGCUUAAUUUGACUCAACACGGGGAAACUUACCAGGUCCAGACAUAGUAAGGAUUGACAGAUUGAAAGCUCUUUCUUGAUUCUAUGGGUGGUGGUGCAUGGCCGUUCUU